rnacentral:lncRNA from 1 species
UCUCUCUCUCUCUCUCUCUCUCGCUCCCCAUCUCCCCGCCCAAUGCUCUCGCUCUACCCCACUCUCUCCCUCUAACAAACCACCGAGCCCUCGUCCGACCAACGAGCCAUUGUGCCGCCCCUCCAACUCGUCCGUUGCCUCCAUCGUCGCCAAAUUGCUGCCCCUUCGCAUCUAUGCCCUCCCUCUCUCCCUUCAAGUCGCGACCAAACCCUCAUCUGACAAAUCACUGUGCAAUCUCUACCUCUGUCUUGAAAGGUACAACACAUGUCGCAUUCUCAAUGCCCUUUCAAUUUAUUGCGGUGCCACAUCUCAUGUAGCCAAUAUUUUCUCGAUUGAAAAGUAUGCGCACUGUAUUGAGUUACUUAUAUGUGGCUAUGACGGGCUAGUGCCACAUUUCUCUCAGGCGUCUGGUGGCCCGUUGGAUGAUGAGCUGGGAACACGACAAACUCUUCUUCUAGGAUAUCAGGUGGUCUUGCUCCACCAUAUUGGUGGAUCCGCUACAUACAGCAUUACCCGGCGCGUAGCCUCCGCUGUUGUUUGGCGGUUGGAAUAUGGCAACAAUAAGUUCCGCACUAAAACCCGCACUGGUAAUUCGGUAUUGCACUCCGAAUGUUUGCGCCGUGACCUCUUCGCCUGUUCAAAUCUGGAUAUGGAGUUUUGUUAUGGGGGUUAGACGGGUAAAGUUUUUGGUGUUGAGCUAAUUGGCAAAACGAAGCGAAUGGAUAUGUUAGUUUGAUUUGAUUUGGUUUGUAGAUUGUUGUGAAAACCCCACAUUUAAAGAGAAGUUGUGUUCACACUCGUUAAAGAGCUUAGGGAGUUGAAUCUUGUGACGUGGAACCGGCACCAUCCUCACUUUUGACAACCUCGUCAACGGUGGAAAGUAAUUGCUUCCUACUUUGAAUCCAUUUUGCU